ACGAACGCUGGCGGCAUGCCUAACACAUGCAAGUCGAACGAGACCUUCGGGUCUAGUGGCGCACGGGUGCGUAACGCGUGGGAACCUGCCCUUAGGUUCGGAAUAACUCCCCGAAAGGGGUGCUAAUACCGGAUAAUGUCUUCGGACCAAAGAUUUAUCGCCUUUGGAUGGGCCCGCGUUGGAUUAGCUAGUUGGUAGGGUAAAAGCCUACCAAGGCGACGAUCCAUAGCUGGUCUGAGAGGAUGAUCAGCCACACUGGGACUGAGACACGGCCCAGACUCCUACGGGAGGCAGCAGUGGGGAAUAUUGGACAAUGGGCGAAAGCCUUAUCCAGCAGUGCCGCGUGAGUGAUGAAGGCCUUAGGGUUGUAAAGCUCUUUUACCCGGGAUGAUAAUGACAGUACCGGGAGAAUAAGCUCCGGCUAACUCCGU
rnacentral:rRNA from 1 species